AAUCCGCGACUUUUAAAAUCGUGAGGGUUCAAGUCCCUCU
rnacentral:tRNA from 1 species